UCCAUUUUUCACAAAAAAAUUUCAUUAGUCCGCCCAAACAAAAAGCAUUUUACUAAAACUUUUGGAGAAUGCUUCUCUCUUAGCAUAAACCUACAACCCCGAAUUUGCUUCUCUUCGCUACAACGACAAUCAAUGGCUUCUCUUUUAGCUUAAACCUACAACACAGUACUGAAUUUGCUUCUCUUCUCUAAAAUCGCUACAACAACAGUCAAUCGAUUAGGGAAUCGGCUUCUUUUCCCUACAACGACAAUCAAUCGAUUAGGGGAAUCGUCUUCUUUUUUCUAUAAUCUCUACAAUUACUACGAUUUGGUAGUGAGCUCAGUGGGAUUUACUGGUGUUGCUUCAAAAAAUGAUUUACCGGUGCGAGGAAUAUUUGGACCAAGAUAUCUGGGAUUAGGUUGUUUUGGUAAGCUACGGACCAACUGUAGAAUUGCAUUUUGAUUCCUGGAUUUAGGACCCAUUUUGGUGUAUUCGGCACACUUCAAGAAAUUGGGAAGCGCGAAGGUCUGAAAGGUCUCUACAGGUGAUUUUGGAGCUGCAGCUGCUUGUCUCUUUUGUAUAUUAGAGAAGCAAAUAGCUAGGUAUUUUAUUCUAUACAGGAAUUUGUUUGGAGUUUGAAGAAUAUUGUUGAAGAGGUUGCUCUCUAUGUUUUCUAGAAUUCAUAAACAAACCACCUACUAUCCUUUCCCUCCCAACAAAUCAAGAAAGUUCAUGUAUUGAUUCAGAUUCACUAAGAGAUUGCUUCUACACUAGUAAAACAGAUUAUGAAGAUAUUAGUAACUCUAGAUAAGUAUGCCCUUCGAAGCCAGCAUUUCUCCCUCUCCAGCCAUAAAAUCCAUAGGAUACACAAAAGAAUGGUUCUCCAUAUCUUCUUCAGCCUUCUAGGUACCCUUUGAGCAUGCCAGUCUUCACAAACUAUUUAAUAUACUGAGGCAUCACCCAAGAGAUUCCACAAAUGCUUAAAAUCCCGGCAUUGUCUAGGUAUACUCUGCAAUGGAGGAAAAGAUGAUUCACUAUUUCCUAGGCCUCUUCACAUAGAUAACAUCUAUUACCAGUGUUGAUUGUAGAGCACAAGUACUGGGUUCAUCUGAAUCCAGUAUUUUUGAUACGGGCAUGUGUGUGUGUAUAAUGGAUUCAGUUGUAAGAAAAUAAAGGUUGACCCAUCAAUAAAAUUGUGGAUCCUCCUCUCUGUUACAUGAAGUGAAGCCUCUUUUCUGCAAGUUGUAUAUAGCAAGCCUUCCGAACUGUUGUCCACCUUAGUAUUGCUACCUUAACAGUUAACGGGAGCUUUUGUUUUCCAAAUCAUCUUCUGAGGCCAAUUGGCAUCCCACUAACCUGACUUCUUUAUCAUUAUACUGUCAGCAAUUUUUUAACUGAAUUUUUUCAUCAUCUCGUACUUCUCAGAUCAGUGAAUCCACCUUACUUUGAUCAAUUGAGACUUGACUUGUAGUAGUUGUAGCAUGGAUUUUAUAGAUGUUCACAUACUACUGACAUUGUUUGCAUUACAGAUUCCGGAAAAGGAGAAAAACAUGGAACCUCAUAGUCGUUUAAUUCAUGUUUAUCAUUUUAUGAAGAACAUAGCUCAAAAUCUAGCAGUAAGUACAUGUGUAAAGAUAUUGUUGCCAUAACUGUUCAUUUCAAGGAAGGUUCUUCCUUGAAUAAUUUAUUUUUGGUCCCCCCCCCCUCUCAAUUUGUAAGGUGCUGGGGUUACUUCAGAAUCAUCACUAGGGAAGACCAACAAUGAUAAACAAUGGGCAAGUGAUAUUGCUGUUAUGGGCAGUGGCACCAAGCAUGAGUCUGUCGGAGCAGAUUUUUGGAGUAUGUAUUUUGCUAUUUCUUGACUCACCUGGGUCUUGCCCAGCACUAUCAAGGAUGCAUAUGGCAGUUGGUUCCAAUGUAGAGUUGGAAAAUCAGUCAAAAAGAUAUUGGCAAUUUUAAAUUUUGGCUUUGUUCUACUUGCUAUCACAUUAUUGAUGUUGGCAUAUUGCUUGCUGGUGCUGGUUAUGAUAUCAUGUUUCGUCUGUAAGCAUUUGAUGUGUAAUUCCAAUGGUCUAUGCAGAGUGUGCAUCAUUAUCAACUAUCCCUCGCGGUAAAUGGUACUGCAAGUAUUGUGAAAGUAUGUUACAGAGGGAGAAGUUUGUGGAACACAAUGCAAAUGCCUUAGCAGCUGGCAGGGUCUCUGGCGUUGAUUCUAUAGAGCAAAUAACAAACCGCUGCAUUCGUUCUGUCAAGAAUGCUGAAGAGGCAGAAUUUAUUGCAUGUAUUUUAUGCAGGUAGUAUUUUUUGUUUGGCAUAGAGCAUGUUGCGGCUGACCACCUUAGCUUUAUUAGUUUAACCCAGUUUGUCAUGUCGUUUAUGUUUAUAGAGCUUAUGACUUUAGCAAGUCUGGUUUUGGUCCACGGACUGUCAUCCUUUGUGAUCAGGUUUUUCCUCUGCAUUUCUUUAUAUGUCUUAUUCAACAAGUAUAUGAACUGAAAUACUUUAUCCACCAUUUGUUUUCUCAGUGUGAGAAAGAGUAUCAUGUUGGCUGCUUGAAAAAAAGCAAGAUAGCAGAUUUAAAGGUGCAUGCAUUUGCAUUUUAAGAUGAUUUCAUGAAUAGGAAUUGCCUAAAGGGAAGUUCUGUAGUACGAAUUGCAAGAGGAUCUAUUCUGCACUGUAAAAUUUGCUAAACUCAGGCAAAGAAAGGUUGCCUGAUUCUUGUUUGGAUGCAACAAGGGUGAAGGAAAAGGAAAAGAGUUUGGUUGCUGAUGGUGAAUUUGAUGUUAGAUGGAGACUUCUGAGUGGAAGAGUUUCCUUCUCGUGAAACCCGAAGGCUACGGGCAGAAGCUGUUUCUAUCUUCCAUUGACUUGAACAAUCAUGAAUCUACAAGGGUGUUCAAGAAAUCAUCAGAAAGUUAAAGAACUUUGUUUCAGCUGGAUCACUUGUAGCUUUACGGAAAAAACUGAUGCUAGAACACAACAAGAAGAAUACAGGCUACAUAGAAUUUCUUGAAACUUAUCGCGACUAGAACUUGAUACUAUGUAAAAAUUUAACUAAUCAUUUGAGUACUUAACAUACAUUUUGCUUUUGGAUUUA